GCUUUUUUUUCUAAAAAAUGUAUAAAAAAAAAAAAGUCUGAAAAUAUGUAUAAAAAAAAAAAAAGUCAAUAGUAUAGCAUGUUAGGUAUGUUAGGAAUGUUAGCCAAGAUAGUGCGUGAUGAAAAGAUUUCGUGAUAAGUCAGGAUGUUAGGUAUGUUAGGAAUGUUAGCUUAGUAUAGUGCGUGAUGAAAAAAGUCGUGUUAAAAAAAAAAAAAAAAAAA